rnacentral:tRNA from 1 species
CCGCGCCUUUGCGCGCAAAAAACUACACUGGGGGUGUAGGGGUCGGAGGUUCGAAUCCUCUCGCUCCGACCA